GUCGAGAAUAAUUCACAAUGGACGAAAGUCUGAUGGUGCAACGCCGCGUGGAGGAUGACGGUCUUCGGAUUGUAAACUCCUGUCAUCCGGGAGUAAGACCUGGCUGUGAAUAGCAGACAGGGUUGAUAGUACCGGAAGAGGAAGGGACGGCUAUCUUCGUGCCAGCAGCCGCGGUAAUACGAAGGUCCCGAGCGUUUUUCGGAAUCACUGGGCGUAAAGGGAGCGUAGGCGGCGUGGUAAGUCAGAUGUGAAAUCCCGGGGCUCAACCACGGAAAUGCAUCCGAUACUGUCGUGGUAGAGGAGUGGAGAGGUAGCUGGAAUUCUUGGGGUAGCAGGGAAAUGCGUGGGGAUCAAGGGGAACACUCGUGGCGAAAGCGAGCUACUGGACAAUAUCUGACGCUGAGGCUCGAAGGCCAGGGUAACGAAAGGGAUUAGAUACCCCAGUAGUCC
rnacentral:rRNA from 1 species